AUUCAGUUGACGAGUCCCAAAUAGGACGAAGCGCGCGUCCUGGAU
rnacentral:hammerhead_ribozyme from 1 species